GCACUGCCCGAGAAGCGGGGUGAAGACAGCGGGAAGCUCAUGCUCACAGGCCGCUCUGUAACUGAAAGAAGCCACAUGGAAGGGAGAAUCCACAUAUUGGAAAAUGGUGCCCGAACCUCUGUUUCCUCCCUCCAUGGAGUGAAUAACUCCCUCCAGGGAAAGCGGUUUCAGGCAUGAACCAUGGACCACAGAGAAGCCACUGGAGCCUGGGGAGAAGCCACCAGGCCACUUGGAAGAAGGCAAGUGGUCCCCAGGUUACCUCUCAUCAGGCCCGGGACAGCCCUGCCCCGCUUCUUCAGCUCCCCGAAGCAGCCGUCGCAGACCUUGGCCAUCCUGUCCUUCAGGUACUUCAGCGGGUACUUGUUCCGCGAACAGUUCCGGCACACGAUCUGCAGGCCCAGGUGGGAAGAUUCUCACCCCUCUCAGUGCAUGCAAAGGAGACCUGCACCCCUCCCCUCCGCUCCCUCUGCUAAUCCACCCACAACUGCCCCUAGGGAGCCCCAGGUUCUGAUCAUGGAGCUGUGCGUGUCCCCUACUUUUCCGGCAAGGCUUCAUCUUGUUUCUGAGCCAGCGCCUAUCUGCUUUUCUGAUGAGCCCGCGCCCUUAACCACUACAUGAUACUUUUUUCUCCAAGCACAAUAGCCACGUAUGCUACGGUUUUCUGUUGAAAACGUGGUGGUGUGGAAGAGGCCUGGGACUUGGAGCUCUGGUUUGAUGAUCUAUAAAAUGGGAAUUAGCAAUCUGUUCCUCUCGGGUUGGUGUGAACAUGCCUCACUCUGGGGCUUACAGUAGCUGCUGGACAUCCCUGAGCCCCCGGCUGGGCAGGGACAUGCCCUUCCCCCACCCCACCCCCAUGCACACACUCACCCCAGAUGCAGCGACUCACCUUGCCACAGGCGUGACAGUGAUGACGCCGCAGGGUGAGGGAGAAGUCGCAGCCGCAGUUCAUGCACAUCAUGACGUGUGUGACAGGCACCAGGGUGGGGGGCCUCUCCCCAAGGCUAACCCCCAGCCUCUCUCGUAUCUGCAGCAACAGAAUUGGCUGAGUAAUGUGGAAUGUGGCCAGGAGACCAGCCAGAUGCAGAGCCCAGUGAGCCCUGCCCUGCGUCUCUGUGCAGGGUGUGUGAUGUGUGGCUUCCCAGACAGUCAUCCAACAGGCACUUUCCAAGUCCCUGCUCUGCACCAGGGAGGGCUUCCUGAGUGGCAAGAGCUACGCCUGGGCUGGGUGCCAGCUAGCUGGGUGAAGUUCUCACAGUGUCCACUAGAUGCCGCGCCUACACCACAGGUAAGUGUGCAGCCUGCCCCGGAAAGCAAGCAUAAGGGCCCGCUGGCCUGGGCGGGAGCAGUGCUGCAGGGCAGAGGCUGAAUCAGCAUUGUGGGCAGCAAGACACCAUGUCCCUAAAAUGUGAUGAAUGGGUCCUGCGGUCCCCUGGGAGCUUCAAGUGUGAAGGGUCUGGACUAGCAGGAAGGUGACUGGCAUGCUAAAGGCCACUGUCCUUGCCCUGGGAGAUGGGCAGCCCCACCUGAAGGCCCACGUGUGGAUCGUCACCACCCUCAAGUCAUGGCCGGACUAACAGAAACUAUUUGCUGGCAGCCUCCUGCCCUUGAUUUUAUCACAAGGAGAGGUGAGGCCACGACCCCCACCCAGGCAUCACCUCCUCCAGGAAGCAUUCCCUCACUCCUCCAGAUGGGGCAGUCCCUCCUUUGGGUUUCCAAGCCCUUUUCUACUCCCUCAUGCAGUAGACUGUAACAGAUAAGAGCUCUGGUCCACACAGUCCUGGGUUCAAACUCCAGUUCCACCUCACCUGGCUGUGUGACCCUUUUGCAAGCCUCAACUCCCUAUGCAUGGAAGGAGCCGCAAACCCCAGCUCUAAGGGUGGU